GACGUAGGGCGCGAGCGUUGUCCGGAUUUAUUGGGCGUAAAGAGCUCGUAGGCGGCUUGUCGCGUCGGCUGUGAAAACCCGCGGCUCAACUGUGGGCGGGCAGCUGAUACGGGCAGACUAGAGUGUGGUAGGGGAGACUGGAAAUUCCUGGUGUAGCGGUGAAAUGCGCAGAUAUCAGGAGGAACACCCGGUGGCGAAGGCGGGUCUCUGGGCCGAUGACUGACGCUGGAGGGACGAAAGCUAGGGGAGCGAAUGGG
rnacentral:rRNA from 1 species